rnacentral:RNase_P_RNA from 1 species
UCCCUGUUCUGGAUGGCUGCGUCCCGCUUUUAGCGGGAUGAGGAAAGUCCGAACACCCCAUAAUGGCAUCCGCCGCUAUGGAAGGAGGUAGUGGCUAACGGCCACCAUAUCCAGCUCCAGUUUUGCAUCAGAAUUACGAAAACGAUUAGAACGAUUUUGCUCAAGCGCGAUUGAUUCGACGGAUUCGCUCGGAUGCAAAACUGGGGCUGGAGAACGGGACAGUGCCACAGAGAACAUACUACCGAUCGUCACUACGGAAACCCUAAAAGUUUCCAACGUGGAGGAGGUAAAAGGUGAAAAGAGUGGGGUAAGAGCCCACAGCUCCGCAGGGUGACUUGCGGGGUGAGGAAAACACCUACCCGGUGCAAGGGGAUCCCGCUUACAGCGGGAAGACCCGCUUGAUCCCGCAAGUAAUUGCGGGGCUAGACAGAUGGCCAUCGCUCCGGCGCAAGUCGGAGGCACAGAAUUCGGCUUACAAGAACAGGAACAAA